GCUGUAAGCCUGCCGACCUUUCACACYAGGUGACAGAAAAAUCCGACCACUCUUCUUUGCAAAACACCUCAAAUUCCAUCAGACUGGAUGGGCAAAGAACAGCUGUGAAUAUUACUAAACAUCUCAUCUUAGACUAAUCAAUUCUGACACAUUAAAAUAAUUUAAUCAAAACAAUUUCAUAAUAAUAACCCUGUCUGUAUAUUUAGGCUCACUGUCCUGCUGAAAGGUGAACCCGUAUCGKUCCCGACUCCUUUGCGGCCUGACAUUUUUACUUCCAAAUUGGUCAUGUAGGUCUCCGUGUAAUAUUUAGUUGGUGGACAAAGAUGUUUGGUCAAAUCUAGAAUUAUGGUUUUCUUUAAACAAUUGCUGUCUUCCUACCACUCAUCCAAAACAGCCAGAUUUAUAGAAUGCAGACAUUUUGUCUGUGGAAGUUUGCGUCUCGUUCAGUCACUACAGGUUUCUCGAACACGGUCCUGUAAUGGUCAAUGUCUUGGUAGAUUUGCAGUUGUGCCAAAGUCUUCAAACCGUUCAAUGAUUUCUCUUAUAAACUAACUCUACUCUUCUCCUAAAUGUACAACUCUUCAUUGACGUUAUCUAGCAACCUGCUCAGGUCAUCAUAUGACGUAAGAUCCCAAUAAAUACAUUGGAGUUUAUCCUCGUCGCAUGAGAGAAUGUGAAGUUCAACGGAGAUGAAAACAUUUGCGAGGCACUGUAUGGAGACGUCAUGAGCCUCUCCCGUCCCAAAUUUUUCUUCCAGGCAUCAGCUUGUGGUUUGGUGGUUUGCCAUGCGUGGAGAGCAAACGCAGUGGGGACAAGGUCUAAAAAAGGCUGCAGGGGGAGAUGAUGCGUGAUGGCACAAAAAUCACAAGUUUCCAAAGAGAGAGAAGAAAAAAAAAAA